rnacentral:rRNA from 1 species
UGCAAGUCGAGCGAGGUCUUCGGGCCUAGCGGCGGACGGGUGAGUAACGCGUGGGAACGUGCCCUUUGGUUCGGAAUAGCCCUGGGAAACUGGGAGUAAUGCCGAAUAAGCUCUACGGAGGAAAGAUUUAUCGCCAAAGGAUCGGCCCGCGUUGGAUUAGGUAGUUGGUGGGGUAAUGGCCUACCAAGCCGACGAUCCAUAGCUGGUUUGAGAGGAUGAUCAGCCACACUGGGACUGAGACACGGCCCAGACUCCUACGGGAGGCAGCAGUGGGGAAUCUUGGACAAUGGGGGCAACCCUGAUCCAGCCAUGCCGCGUGAUCGAUGAAGGCCUUAGGGUUGUAAAGAUCUUUCAGCUGGGAAGAUAAUGACGGUACCAGCAGAAGAAGCCCCGGCUAACUCCGUGCCAGCAGCNNNCGGUAAA